GAUGAACGCUGGCGGCGUGCCUAAUACAUGCCAGUCGAGCGAACGGACGAGAAGCUUGCUUCUCUGAUGUUAGCGGCGGACGGGUGAGUAACACGUGGAUAACCUACCUAUAAGACUGGGAUAACUUCGGGAAACCGGAGCUAAUACCGGAUGAUAUUUUGAACCGCAUGGUUCAAAAGUGAAAGACGGUCUUGCUGUCACUUAUAGAUGGAUCCGCGCUGCAUUAGCUAGUUGGUAAGGUAACGGCUUACCAAGGCAACGAUGCAUAGCCGACCUGAGAGGGUGAUCGGCCACACUGGAACUGAGACACGGUCCAGACUCCUACGGGAGGCAGCAGUAGGGAAUCUUCCGCCAUGGGCGAAAGCCUGACGGAGCAACGCCGGGUGAGUGAUGAAGGUCUUCGGAUCGUAAAACUCUGUUAUUAGGGAAGAACAUAUGUGUAAGUAACUGUGCACAUCUUGACGGUACCUAAUCAGAAAGCCACGGCUAACUACGUG
rnacentral:rRNA from 1 species